UACGGAGGGAGCUAGCGUUGUUCGGAAUUAUUGGGCGUAAAGAGCUCGUAGGCGGUUUGUCGCGUCGUUCGUGAAAACUUGGGGCUUAACUCCAAGCGUGCGGGCGAUACGGGCAGACUUGAGUACUACAGGGGAGACUGGAAUUCCUGGUGUAGCGGUGAAAUGCGCAGAUAUCAGGAGGAACACCGGUGGCGAAGGCGGGUCUCUGGGUAGUAACUGACGCUGAGGAACGAAAGCGUGGGUAGCGAACAGG
rnacentral:rRNA from 1 species